GCUGUGCAUAGCUUCUUACAGUGUUGUUUGAUAUAUUGAAGUUCAUUUGUGAGAUGCUGUCUCUGAAUGUUCAAAACUCCCGUUUCUAUACCAGUACUGUAUUUCUUCGAAUAUUUUUGAAUGGUACUUAGGUGUAGAAUGUAGAUCAUCAUGUUGAUCAUAUUUAGACCAAAAGUCCCACAGGAUCUUCGCUCUGUCAUUCACCACCUUCGGAGGUGUUUCCCAUUCUGACCUUGGGGUUUUCAGUCCAUACACUGCACAGAUGUUUCGGUAGACUAUGCCAGCCACCUGGUUAUGGCGUUCCAUGUAGGCUUUCCCUGCCAGCAUCUUACACCCUGCAGUUAUGUGUUGGAUCGUCUCAGCUGCCUCUUUGCACAACCUACACUUUGGGUCUUGUCUGGUGUGGUAUAUCUGGGCCUCAAUGGCUCUGGUGCUCAGGGCCUGCUCCUGAGCAGCCAGGAUUGUCACGUUGCAUGGUGGUGGUGGAGCCCAAAAAGCAGGCAGGAGAGAGGAGCAGGGUGUAUUUGAAGAUGUGUAUUGAUAAAACACAGAAAACUAAAUCCUAAGUAAACAAAGUCCAAAGUAGCAAACAAAAUUCAUGACUGAAGAUAAAACAUAGCGGCAACCAAAACAUGACUCAAACAGACAUGACAGUAGCAAAGCAACAAUGACCCGACACUGAGUGUGCGGGCAAGAGUCCUUUUUAUAGGCCUGAUUACCUAUGGCCAACAGGUGUGCAGCUGCCAGGGGAGCUCUACAGUGCCACCUGUUGGUCCCCAAACCGAAUCGUGACAGUACCCCUCAAGGGACGGAUCCCAGACGUCCCAAAGUGGUCCAAAAGGCUUGCCUCGCCAGGGAACAGGAACUAAAAGCGACGGCAACCCUUGCCUCGCCGGAGAACAUGAACAAAACGCGACGGCGACCUUCGCCUCGCCGAAAUGCAGGAACGAUAAGCGAGGUGACCUUCACCUCGCCAGGGACAAAAGCGAGGGCAAUCCUUUUGGCUGGGCGUGGCCUGACGUGGACGGAGCUCGGCGUAGCGGGGGACAAGGAACAGCCGGUCGUGAACAGGGGCUCGGCCUGACGUGGGCGUGGACGUGGCACGGCUUGUCGUCGACGUGAAUGUGACUUCGCUCCAACAAACGUGACAAGCCUCGGCUCAACGUAGACGCGGACGCGGCUCGGCCCACCGUAGACGCGGCUUGACGAGACGAAAACAGGACAGCCGCAUCACCAGCGCUGCCUGAAAGGGGGAAGGGUGUCGGCCGCAAACGAGCUCCGCCAGGCACAUGGUGGAAUAGGGACCAAUCCAUCGUACCUGCGGGGUCCAGGUGGUCGGGUCAUUGUCACGUUGCAUGGUGGUGGUGGACCCCAAAAAGCAGACAGGAGAGAGGAGCAGGGUGUAUUUGAAGAUGUGUAUUGAUAAAACACAGAAAACUAAAUCCUAAGCAAACAAAGUAGCAAACAAAAUUCAUGACUGAAGAUAAAACAUAGCGGCAACUAGUGAUGGGUCCAGCGACACCGAUGCAUUGACACAUGCGCCGGGCUCACAGAGCAAACCACGUGUCGAUGCAUGUGCUGGCUCAUUACGUCACGUGAUUGACACGUGAACUGCGUUGACACAGUCCAGGCUUCUAAUUGACACACCGGCUGCGUUGACACAGUCCAGGCUGCUAAUUGACACAUCGACUGUGUUGACACAGUCCAGGCUGCUAAUUGACACAUCGGCUGCGUUGACACAGUCCAGGCUGCUAAUUGACACGUGAACUGCACCGGUGCAGUUUAGACUGCAUCGGCUGCUUGGCACAGUACAGGCUGCGCCACUUAGUCCAGGGGGCGUCGACUCAGUGCAGAGGGCGUUGACGCAGCAAAAGCCCGCCACACAGUGUUUAUAAGGAACACCUGCCGAAACAAGCCAGACCUCACUCACGCUCGCUUGUCGAAGCUCGUGUCAGUGCAGACUUCGUGUUCGUGCCUUGCCUUCCUUGCCGAUUAUGGAGCAGAGACGCAAAUCAUCCGCCGUGUGGGACCAUUUUGAUGUCCUGGAGAAUAAGGUGAAAUGUCGAAUUUGCCAAGUCAAUUCGCCAACAGAAGCACCUCCACCAUGCUGAGGCAUUAUCGGGCCAAGCAUGAGAAUGAAGUUCGCGAUACACCCGGUAUUACGCCAGGUUCCAGGAAGCAGCUGUACUGGAAGGACCAACACACUUCUUUCCCAAACCUCUCCCACCUCGCAAAGGAGUUCCUUUGUACGCCAGCCACAUCCGUCCCUUGUGAGCGUGUGUUCUUCACAGCAGGAGAAAUUGCUUGUAAAAGACGCAACAGGCUGAAGUUUAAAACAUUGGAGCAUCUUAUUUUUCUCAAUAAAAAUGUGAAAUCAAAGCCCACAAGCAUCCUCAUUCAAAUGAUCUUCACAUUAUUUGAACACAUUGAAUGUUGCAAAAUGAAUGCAUGGAUGUGAAUGAUAUUGUAUACACUUCAUCAAAUCGAUGAAUGACCUUAUGAAAAUGUCUUGGAACAGUUGUAGAUGCAAAACCGUGCUGGCAGCUACAUAAUAGAUAAUAAAAGAAAAAUAUCCCAAACCAUAGGGAUCCUCCCAAAACUAAGGAUGUGCUGAAUAAGAAAUCCUUGUACACACUUUUAUUACUUCCAUAUUUGACCUAUUGUGUGGAAAUAUGGGGAAAUGCCAGUAAAACAGUUUUAAAACUACAAUACAAAGCAAUCAGAACAAUCACUGGCUCCAAAUAGACGGAACCCACAAAUCCACUGUUUAUCAAAUUAAACAAUGAAAUCUCAUGACCUGGUUGACUUCAAAAUCGCCCAAUUAAUGUACAAAGCACACAAUAACCUCCUUUGCCAAAACAUCCAGAAGCUUUUUAAAAUUCGAGAAAGUUGUCAUA